CUACGGAGGGUCCAAGCGUUAUCCGGAAUCAUUGGGUUUAAAGGGACCGCAGGCGGUCAAUUAAGUCAGAGGUGAAAGCCCAUCGCUCAACGAUGGAACUGCCUUUGAUACUGGUUGACUUGAGUUAUACGGAAGUAGAUAGAAUAAGUAGUGUAGCGGUGAAAUGCAUAGAUAUUACUUAGAAUACCGAUUGCGAAGGCAGUCUACUACGUAUAUACUGACGCUGAGGGACGAAAGCGUGGGGAGCGAACAGGAUUAGAAACCCCUGUAGUCC
rnacentral:rRNA from 1 species